UACGUAGGGCGCAAGCGUUAUCCGGAAUUAUUGGGCGUAAAGAGCUCGUAGGCGGUCUGUCGCGUCUGCUGUGAAAAUCAGGGCUCAACCCUGGACCUGCAGUGGGUACGGGCAGACUAGAGUGCGGUAGGGGAGAUCGGAAUUCCUGGUGUAGCGGUGAAAUGCGCAGAUAUCAGGAGGAACACCGGUGGCGAAGGCGGAUCUCUGGGCCGUAAGCUGA
rnacentral:rRNA from 1 species